rnacentral:tRNA from 1 species
GGAAGUAUAGCUCAGUUGGGAGAGCAUCUGCCUUACAAGCAGGGGGUCACAGGUUCGAUCCCUGUUACUUCCACCA